rnacentral:rRNA from 1 species
CCUACGGGGGGCAGCAGUGGGGAAUAUUGGACAAUGGGCGAAAGCCUGAUCCAGCCACGCCGCGUGAGUGAUGAAGGCCUUCGGGUUGUAAAGCUCUGUCGGGAGGGACGAAGUACUGACGGUACCUCCCAAGAAAGCGCCGGCUAACUCCGUGCCAGCAGCCGCGGUAAUACGGAGGGCGCAAGCGUUGCUCGGAAUCACUGGGCGUAAAGCGAACGCAGGCGGCCAAGUGUGUCGGAUGUGAAAGCCCCGGGCUCAACUCGGGAACUGCAUUCGAAACUGCUUGGCUUGAGUCCGGAAGAGGGUGGUGGAAUUCCUGGUGUAGAGGUGAAAUUCGUUGAUAUCAGGAGGAACACCGGCGGCGAAGGCGGCCACCUGGUCCGGUACUGACGCUCAUGUUCGAAAGCGUGGGUAGCAAACAGGAUUAGAUACCCCGGUAGUC